AAAGAGAAUCAUCGUGGAUCUAAUUAGUUAAGAUUAGGUCAUACUACAGUGUGUGAGACCCUAAUCCCGUAGGACUGGUCUUAUAAAAAGGGUAAUUUGGGCACAGAAAUAGACAUGCAUAGAGGGAAGAUGAUGUGAAGAAACACAGCUCAGACACCCAUCUUCAAGGCAAGGAGAGAGGCCUGGAACAGAUCAGAAGGAAUCAACCCUGCCAACACCUUCAUUUCAGACUGCUAGCCUCCAGAACUGUCGUUUAAACACCCAGUCUGUGACUCUUUACUAUGGCAGUAUGGUAGGAGACCACCACUUCUCCUGUUGUCCUUCCCAGUUUCUCCCCAACCUCCCCUUUUCCCUAGUUUAUAAGACAGGAGAAAAGGGAGAAAGCAAAAAGUUGGAAAGAAACAGAAGUAAGAUAAAUAGCUAGACGACCUUGGCGCCACCACCUGGCCCUGGUGGUUAAAAUGAUAAUAAUAUUAACCCCUGACCAAAACUACUGGUGUUAUCUGUAAAUUCCAGACAUUAUAUGAGAAAGCACUGUAAAACUUUUUGUACUGUUAGCUGAUGUAGGUAGCCCACAGUCACAUUCCUCACACUUACUUGAUCUAUUAUGACUCUUUCACGUAGACCCCUUAGAGUUGUAAGCCCUUCAAAGGGCUAGGAAUUUCUUUUUCGGGGAGCUCGGCUCUUAAGAUGCGAGUCUGCUGAUGCUCCCGGCCGAAUAAAAAACCUCUUCCUUCUUUAAUCCGGUGUCUCAGGAGUUUUGUCUGC
rnacentral:lncRNA from 1 species